rnacentral:lncRNA from 1 species
GUGAAGAGAAGUAGGAGUAACAAGAACAAGCCACAAAUUGCUAUAAAGCAAUUAUGACUAGCCUUGAUUUAUGACUCCCCACUUUUACCCAAAUUUAAUGGUAAUGAAAUUCUUGAUGCUUGGGCUUCCUCUUUGAAAUUUGUGGAAUUGAUGAGAAUAUGGAAUCUUAGUGAGGUAGAUCUUGGUGAAGAAGAAAUUGGGAUGAAUUUUGGUGAGGUGGGAAAAUCUUGGUGAGGAGGGAACUUGUGGUGAGGUGAGGUGAAGUGUGAAUCUUAGUGAAGUGGAAAGAAAAGAUGAGUAGGAAAAUUGAAGAAAAUGAAUCUGGUGGAGGAUGGGUC